rnacentral:lncRNA from 1 species
UGCGGGGAAGAUGCCCCUCAAGACCAUCUUGGCAUCCGUAACAAGCCUAACGGUCGUGCCCCUCCUCCCUCGCCCUUCUAUACCCUCGACAGAGCUCUCCCAAGCGCCUCCCGUGGGCUCAGUCCAUGGUGCGCCUCGGUCCAGCUAUAAGAGGCCUCCCCGAGCGACCCUCUUAGCUCCCUUUGCCUCCUCUCCCUCCCGUAAGCUUCCUUGACCAGAGCCCUCUUGCUCUCGCACCCUCCUCCUCAAAUGGCCAGUAAUGCCCGCCUUGGGUCUCUCUCAAAUUCGAGCUCCCUGAUCAAUCCCUCCUCUUUUAAGCCGCACUGGAACCCCUCAAGCACAACCACCUUCCUACCCCAUGUUUCAAUCCCUCUCUCUGGUUGCUGGGACACUGAGUUCCAUGGACGCUGUUGUCAGCGUCCGUUGCGGCCGAAGCUGCACUUAUUAUGGUGCUCCCCAGCAAAAAUGAAACCUCGAGGGUGGUGCGGCUCUUUGCGCCGAGCACACCAGUGGUUGGAGCCUCACUGGAGUUGACUUGCGCUAGCGAAACGACACUCGCGCAUGGUCGGCCUUGCCUCCCCUAUCUUCACAGUGUUCGAAUGGGAGGUGGGGGACGAGCCUACAAGUGGGGCCCACUUCUAUGUGGUUGUGGCCCUCGGCCUCCUGGUUAAGUGGAGACGGUGUCAUCGAAGCACCCUUCCUGCAAACAAGGUGCCCGACAGAAAACCGCUUUCGACGUGGCCUUCAUGCACGCACGGCCAAGCACUGGGCCAGCGCAAUGUGUUGCGGGCUAAGUUGUGCUUAGUGCGGUGUUUAGCUAUUUAGUUAAUUUCUUUCUCGUUUUCUUUUUCCAGAGAGGCAAAUAAAUUCAUAGAACAUUCAUACGAUCUCCAAAAUAUGGUAAUUAAAAUUCCUAGAAGCUUAAAAAUCAUGCUUUAUCCAAUGAUUUUCACAUUUUUUCCAUGUAACAUUUUCUGCUCCACCAGCAUUUUGGCCAUUUCUCUUAUUAUAAUGCCCUAUUUGUAAAAUCCCCACAAAAUUCCAAUUAACACCAAACGAGAUGAUUCAAAUUCCUAGAUGAUUUUCAUGUCAUUCCCUA